AUGAUGAGAAUCACGGACUGGCUGCCCCCUGCACGCCCCACACUGGGAAUCGAGCCCGCAACCCGGGCCUGUGCCCUGACUGGGAAUCGAACUGUCACCUCCGGGUUCCUAGCUCGAUGCUUAACCACUGAGCCACACUGGCCAGGCUGA